rnacentral:piRNA from 1 species
GAAUAAAUGGUCUUUAAGUGGUAUUGGAA